GGUCCAAUAGUCUAGUUGGUUAGGACGUGGGUUUCUGAUUAUAUCUAUCAGGAUAUAGGAGCCUACCCGAAGCCUCAGUUCGAAUCUGGGUUGGACCU